CGAAAUUCAAAAAUAUCGAAUGCCAUGUUGAUGUUGCACAGAAGGAAAGUUGGAACGAGAGUGUCACGAACAGGGGGGUCAUGAUUAGUUUGAGAUGGAAGAAGAUGAAGACAUUUUAAAGACCGUUGCUGCAUUGUGCCUGAGAUGAUCCCCACAGCGCUGGCAUUUUAUAACUUGGUGGAUGUAGAUGCUCAGCCAAUCAGUCACUAGGCUUGUGAAUAUAGAAUCCGGAUGCUCACAAGGACAAGAACUGUAUGAAAAAACCAAAAAGAAAUUGUGCAAAGAAACUUUGAAGUGUCUGUGGGUAUGAUCAACGUCCAACUUCCUGAGCCUUCGUACUGAAAGUGAAUCCGUUCGUGACACCAAUUAUCUGUCAACCCUCUAACGUGACCAUUUACU